GGGGCUGUAGCUCAGUCGGUUAGAGCAUCGGACUCAUAAUCCGCCGGUCCAGGGUUCAAGCCCCUGCGGCCCCACGA
rnacentral:tRNA from 1 species